ACGAACGCUGGCGGCGUGCCUAAUACCUGCAAGUAGAACGCUGAAGGAGGAGCUUGCUCUUCUGGAUGAGUUGCGAACGGGUGAGUAACGCGUAGGUAACCUGCCUGGUAGCGGGGGAUAACUAUUGGAAACGAUAGCUAAUACCGCAUAAGAGUAGAUGUUGCAUGACAUUUGCUUAAAAGGUGCAAUUGCAUCACUACCAGAUGGACCUGCGUUGUAUUAGCUAGUUGGUGGGGUAACGGCUCACCAAGGCGACGAUACAUAGCCGACCUGAGAGGGUGAUCGGCCACACUGGGACUGAGACACGGCCCAGACUCCUACGGGAGGCAGCAGGAGGGAAUCUUGGGCAAUGGACGGAAGUCUGACCGAGCAACGCCGCGUGAGUGAAGAAGGGUUUCGGAUCGGAAAGCUCUGUUGUAAGAGAAGAACGAGUGUGAGAGUGGAAAGUCCACACUGUGACGGUAUCUUACCAGAAAGGGACGGCUAACUACGUG
rnacentral:rRNA from 1 species